ACAUUUACGUACAUAAUUAUUUGGUCGAUAUGAUAUCUGCAGCGACAACAAGAAAAACGAUGACCAAGGAAGGAAGAGCAUCCAUUCACCCCAUCGCAAUAUGCAACCCGGAGAAAAAUUUCUGCCAAAACUUUCCUGAUCAUUCUUCAGAACCGUGAAUUCUAUGUACGUGACAAGCUGCAAAGGUCAGUAUUUCCAGGUGGUCGGCAACACCGGAAGUGACAGACACGACGAGAAAAUUUGAGAAUUUGAUUACGUGAUGGUAGGCAGGUGCACUACUGACAGGCUCACCACUGGAACCUGCAGUGCAAAACUUUAAUUUAGGUGACAAGGGAGACUUAACCGUCUCUCAACUGCUUUACCAUUAUUGGCCACGUCGAAUACACAUUUUAUCAGUUUGUCAAGAAGAGUGAAUCUUCUGGGUUGGACGAAAUCUUCGCCAUAAAGACCAAACCAUGGUGCUGGGACCCACUCUUCGCAAGAUCUUGCCAUACAUCAAUUUUGCAGUUGCAACUUCUGCCCUUGGGUUUCAGUACUUCGUGCUGUACCCUUGGCAUAAGGAACUCGACAAGGACUUCCGAGAACUGAGAGAAGAACAAAAUUUAACGUUGGAAGAAUAUCACAAAAAGAAACUUCAACGGCUAGAAGAAAUAGAAUGCAAUAUUGUACGGCUGGAAGCUCAUCACAAUCGAAUUGCUGACGCGCAGCAAAAAUUAGGUGAGCGAAUUUGUAGUACGGAUAAUUUAGCACUGGCGUCAAAGUAGUCGGGUUAUUUUUGUGUGUUUAUCGGCUUUAAUAAUUUCAGUUUUAUUCACUUGUGAUGUCUCAGAAUAACAAAUCAAAUUGUUAUAUAUAUAGCAUCAUUCAUUAUGUACUCAUAGUAUUAAAUAGCUAGUUCUAAAUAUCGCAUUUUUGGCCCUUGUGAAAGUGACUGCUAACGAAAAACACUGUCAGAUUUUACAAAUUAAGUAUAUUAUAGAAAUGUCUACGUCGUUCAACUGUUUAUAGUCCUUACGAAGUCACUGCAUAGGUCAUGAGUCUUGAACUAUUGGUUAUCGAUUGACAUGUCAAACUAACCUUGCAGGCAAGCUUAUUUAUUUAAUAUAUUUAAGAUAGAAUACAUAAAAUUGUAGGGCAUUUAUUAUCAACCAAAAUCAGUCCUAAUAAAUUAAAACUUGAUUUAUUCUUA